GCCGCGUCGCCAUUCGCUGCGCCGCUUACUCGUCAAGGCACGCCGCGCGCUGACUGGCCGCGGCCACCAGUCUCCAGGCCCCAGACGCCCCUCUCCGCCCCCCCGCCCCCGCCCCCCAGCAAAUAAUAAACAAUCGAGUAAAAUUCUAAGGAAGGAGAGAGAGGAGAGGGAAAAAGGGAGAGGGCGCACUAGAAACCAAUCCUUCGCGCGCUGGCGGUGGGAGGGUUCAAGGGGGGACGCGAGAGGACAGCGGACGGGAGGAAGGCAGCCGACUUGGGGCGGUGGGUCUGCCAGCGAAGAGGAGGCGUCGGGGGAGGAAAGUUGCAGCGCACUCGACUGGGCGCGCCUGGCGGGGUGUGUAGAGUCUGGGACACAGAAGAUAAAUCCUCAGUCUUGUCCAAGAUCAGGAGAAUAAGAAGACUCUACCCCCCUAAAACCAGAAGUCCAAAGGGCCAAAGUAAAGGCGAAUGUGAAAUUAACUGGCUUUGCAGAAGAGGAUCCCAGGAAAAAUCGUCUGUCUUGAUCAAAGCCCUGAAUAAAAGAGUAUAAAAAAUAUUCUUCCUUGAAAAUUCACAACUAUGGUGUGGUCCGUAUGUAAUAUUAUGACCAAAAUUCAUGAUACCAUGGAAUUAUUUUAAAAACUUCAUGAGCCCCAGUUUGUGGUGCUUUUAACAACUGGCAGAAGGAAAGACACAUCCUCUUGGAGGGCUAUCUUGAGCCUAGGCCCCAAAGAACUUCCAUAAUCAUAAUCAGAAAACACAAAACAUAUAAUAAGCAAGGCUCCAUGUAGGAGCAGACAGAAACAAAAUGUAAGGUCAGAUACACAAAGGCUGGGGUAUGAGAAUAAGCUGACACAGAAAAUAAGUGUACUUAAUAGGUUUAAACAAAAAGGAAGUUUGAAAAUAGAAGAAAGGAACAAGAGUCUAUAAAAAACAACUGAGUAGAUUUGAAAUCAAAAUACUUCUUUGUUUUUCUUCCCAGCUAGAUAUUAUGUCCUUGAAGACACAGGGAUCAGGCUAAACACUAUAUGUUAUCGUUUGUCAAUUGAAGGAAGUUAGAAACAAAGUACUCAAUUUUUUUUGAAACCCAGCAGUAAGAAUGAGAGUUGUGACUACAUUUUUAAAAUGUAAAUGUAAAAACUCCUGUUGUAAAUGUUAAUCAAUCUCUUCUAGAGGAAAGGAAGACAAAAUCAAAAUUAAUGCAAUGCUUCCGGCUGACUGGCCUCCAGCAAAUGGCAUUGAGCUUUGUAAGUGGUCCAUCUACUCCAUUUCUCAUCUUGCAAA
rnacentral:lncRNA from 10 species